UACCAGCACCCCGAGUGGCCGGGACGUUUAUUGGCCUAAAGCCUCCGUAGCCGGUUCUACAAGUCUUCCGUUAAAUCCAACUGCUUAACAGGUGGGCUGCGGAAGAUACUAUAGAGCUAGGAGGCGGGAGAGGCAAGCGGUACUCGAUGGGUAGGGGUAAAAUCCGUUGAUCCAUUGAAGACCACCAGUGGCGAAGGCGGCUUGCCAGAACGCGCUCGACGGUGAGGGAUGAAAGCUGGGGAAGCAAACCGG
rnacentral:rRNA from 1 species